rnacentral:rRNA from 1 species
UACGUAGGGGGCAAGCGUUGUCCGGAAUCAUUGGGCGUAAAGAGCGUGUAGGCGGCCCGGUAAGUCCGCUGUGAAAGUCCAGGGCUCAACCCUGGGAUGCCGGUGGAUACUGUCGGGCUCGAGUCCGGAAGAGGAGUGUGGAAUUCCUGGUGUAGCGGUGGAAUGCGCAGAUAUCAGGAGGAACACCGAUGGCGAAGGCAGAUCUCUGGGCCGUAACUGACGCUGAGGAGCGAAAGCAUGGGGAGCGAACAGG